AUUGAACGCUGGCGGCAUGCCUUACACAUGCAAGUCGAACGGCAGCAUGAUCUAGCUUGCUAGAUUGAUGGCGAGUGGCGAACGGGUGAGUAAUACAUCGGAACGUGCCCUGUAGUGGGGGAUAACUAGUCGAAAGAUUAGCUAAUACCGCAUACGACCUGAGGGUGAAAGUGGGGGACCGCAAGGCCUCAUGCUAUAGGAGCGGCCGACGUCUGAUUAGCUAGUUGGUGAGGUAAAGGCUCACCAAGGCGACGAUCAGUAGCUGGUCUGAGAGGACGAUCAGCCACACUGGGACUGAGACACGGCCCAGACUCCUACGGGAGGCAGCAGUGGGGAAUUUUGGACAAUGGGGGCAACCCUGAUCCAGCAAUGCCGCGUGUGUGAAGAAGGCCUUCGGGUUGUAAAGCACUUUUGUCCGGAAAGAAAUCGCACUUACUAAUAUUAGGUGUGGAUGACGGUACCGGAAGAAUAAGGACCGGCUAACUACGUGCCAGCCGCCGCAGUAAAAC
rnacentral:rRNA from 1 species